rnacentral:pre_miRNA from 2 species
UUCUUAAAACUACCUUUAUGUGCAGCAUAGUUACUAGGUCAAAUCAUGCUUUAUUAUUAAAACAUGGCUUGCAGACUUUUAACCUAGUAACUAUGCUGCACACAAAGGUUGUUUUAAGAAUCA